rnacentral:rRNA from 1 species
UACGUAGGGUGCAAGUGUUAAUCGGAAUUACUGGGCGUAAAGCGUGCGCAGGCGGUGAUGUAAGACAGAUGUGAAAUCCCCGGGCUCAACCUGGGAACUGCAUUUGUGACUGCAUCGCUGGAGUGCGGCAGAGGGGGAUGGAAUUCCGCGUGUAGCAGUGAAAUGCGUAGAUAUGCGGAGGAACACCGAUGGCGAAGGCAAUCCCCUGGGCCUGCACUGACGCUCAUGCACGAAAGCGUGGGGAGCAAACAGG